rnacentral:rRNA from 1 species
AGUGAACGCUGGCGGUAGGCCUAACACAUGCAAGUCGAACGGCAGCACAGUAAGAGCUUGCUCUUACGGGUGGCGAGUGGCGGACGGGUGAGGAAUACAUCGGAAUCUACUUUUUCGUGGGGGAUAACGUAGGGAAACUUACGCUAAUACCGCAUACGACCUACGGGUGAAAGCAGGGGAUCUUCGGACCUUGCGCGAUUGAAUGAGCCGAUGUCGGAUUAGCUAGUUGGCGGGGUAAAGGCCCACCAAGGCGACGAUCCGUAGCUGGUCUGAGAGGAUGUUCAGCCACACUGAAACUGAGACACGGUCCAGACUCCUACGGGAGGCAGCAGUGGGAAAUAUUGGACAAUGGGCGCAAGCCUGAUCCAGCCAUACCGCGUGGGUGAAGGAGGCCUUCGGGUUGUAAAGCCCUUUUGUUGGGAAAGAAAAGCAGCAGGUUAAUACCCCGCUGUUCUGACGGUACCCAAAGAAUAAGCACCGGCUAACUUCGU